rnacentral:rRNA from 1 species
CACACUAACAUCAUUCUUUCAUGCAAUGGAUCGUUAGGCUCAUACAUCGAUGAAGCACGCAGCAAACAGCGAAACGUAAUGAGAUUCGCAAGCUACGAGAUUCAUCUAAUCUGUCAACUCUUAGAAGUUAUCUGGCGUUUACGUUAGAUAGCUAUUCACGGGUGAGUGCCAGUUCUAUUAAGAGAAAAU